GCCAGGGUAGUCUAGUGGCGAGGCGGCGGACUGCAGAUCCGCUUUACGCCGGUUCAAAUCCGGCCCCUGGCU
rnacentral:tRNA from 1 species